AAGUCGUAACAAGGUUUCCGUAGGUGAACCUGCGGAAGGAUCAUUACAACGUCCAAAAGACAAACCAAUCGUGAACUCAGUACCCUUUGGACUAAAGGCAGAGCGGAUGUAAACCUUUUGUGAUGAAGGCGUGCUGACUUUGGCUUCCGAAGCGGUUUAUCUACAUCACUUCUAACAUUACUAAACCCUUUAACACUUUUGAACUGACUUGUUGUUAACGCGGUGCUCCUUUCGGAGUGCUACUAACAAUUGAUUACGUAAAUUACGAACAACUCUUAACAACGGAUAUCUUGGUUCUC
rnacentral:misc_RNA from 1 species